AUCACAGUGGCAAUGCAAUAGCCUGUUUGUUAUAAAAAUCUAAUAAUUGGUCUACAAGUUUCGUAUUGAGAGGAGGCUACAGCUGACAUAAUUGCUUCUCCCCUGAAAUUGCAGAUGUGGAUGUGGUGGGAUGCCCCUUUCUCUCUGCUGUGGGUCUGCGCCCUGACCAGGACAGGAGCCUGUGAAGCUCCUUGAGCGAGCACAGUCUGCAAGGCCAGCCCAGGAGGCACUGCCGUGCCCGAGGUUUGGCCAGUUUCCCUUCAGCUGAAGAAACACUGACUCGAGAAACCCCAGAAUAUUUGCCAUGGCAUCCACAGCCAGCCUCUGAUAGACAACAUGGGGUUGCCCUGACUGCUUCCCACUGGACUCAGCAUCCCUCUCUGCCUCUCACCUUGCUCCAGCUGUGUGUGAAAAACUCUGCUGCUGUGGCCUUGAGAUCACCAGAAAAGUAACAUUGCUCAAAGAAAGCAUGCUCAUACUUAGAAGGACCUUCGUUGCAUAUUAAUUAUGAGAUCCCUAAACCUUAAUGCUAAAAUAAAAUUUGAACUUUUAAACUUGA